rnacentral:misc_RNA from 1 species
AGAUCUAUCAUCUGACCAAAUUAUAACAGGCCACAAUUGAUUAGGGAAGAAAGUAAACUCAAAAGUCCAAUAAUAAUAAAAAUAAAAAUAAAAACCUCAAACAUUUAAACACUUUUUUUUUAUAACCAGAAUGGGCAGAUGUCAUUGAUGGAAGCAAAUUACAUGGUCCUAAUACGAGUCCAGCAAACUCUAAAACCCAAUCGUCAAAAAAAAAAAAA